AUCAACAGAGGAGCUGAUUCAAUCAGGAAAAGCUUCAGAAUCGGAAUCCAAAAGAAAAAAGCAGCUAAUUUUGGGCAAGUUCUUCCUCAUGCUUACAAACUAAUAACUGAUGUGUUUGGAAAUUAUGUCAUUCGGAAGUUUUUGAAUACGGCAACCCAUCACGGAGAAACGAACUCGCGGAUCAACUCAUGGGACAGAUAGUACCACUUUGUCUGCCGUUGUACGGAUGUGAAGUGAUACAAAAGGUUCUUCAUACCAUAAAACCUGAUCAGAGAGUUCGUUUAGCAAGUGAACUUGACGGGCAGGUCUUGAGAUGUGUUCGAAACCAAAACGGAAACCAUGUGAUCCAGAAAGGCAUCCAUAAUAUCCCUGCAGACUGAGUAGGAUUCAUGUUUAGCCGCUUUCCUUGGUCAAGUUUCCAUGCUCUCUAUCCAUCCUUAUGGCAGCCAUGUCAUACCGGUAGUAAGAAAUCAAUUAAACAAUUGUUUUCCUUCUCCUUAUCUUGGUUUCUCUCAUCUUACACAAUAACAAUGCAUCUUCACUUUUUCGCUUCUCUUAUGUACAGUAGAGAGGCAUCUGGAGCAUUUUUCAAAUGAGCAUCAGUCUCACUUCAUUACCGAGGAGAUACUGCAUCCUUUCCAAGGACCAAUAUGGAAUAAACAAAAUCCCACAGUUUGUUAACCACUUAACACGUAAAACCAAUGUUCCUAUUUGGAUAAUGUCUUGGGAGAAGUUUAAAUCUUUGUGCUAAGACUAUUGAGAAACUCUCUUCGAUUUAGGUGUGUUAAGACUAUUUAGUUCCUAUUUGGACAAUGUUCAUCUUCUUGAACUUUACGUGGUUGCUGUUUUGUACGGAGAUGAUUUAUGUUUCUGGUUGAAUAAAAUGCUGUGCUGGAGCCAUAUAUCAAGAGAGGACAUGAUCGAUCAUGCUAGGACGGGGAUAAGAAAGAUUCUUACUUUUGGAAUUCCAGUCAUUGACGGAAUAAUUGAAUUUGUAUUGUCUAAUACAAAAUUUUUUUAUAUU